GCGUCCCAGGAGGAGCGCCGAAACGCACUUCCUCCGCCGCGGAGCGCCGGGGCGGGGCGGGAGACUGCCCCGCCCACUUCCGCCCGGCGUUUUCGGCGGCCCCCACGGGCCCAGGGCUUUAGCUUUUUCUGUAUUUAGAGUUUUACUUCAUUUCGUCCCACCUGCUCCUCGUUUUGUUCCAAAACAGUAUAAUGCCACUUCAGCUUCCUCCAACCGUGAGGCACUCUGCUCAGACUCGGAGCCUGGCGCAGCCGCCAUCUCUCAGAAACGCUGGGGCCAGUAAGUCCGCUGUCCUGCGGGCGGGAGCAAAUGGCUGGUAUUCCCGAUGCUCUGCUAGGGGAGGCGGGAGCGGUGGAGCUGACCUGUAUUUGAAUUCUGACUCCCCCACCCCUUAACAGCUGUGUCCAAAUUGAAAAAGUUAAUCUCCCUUGAGUCUUUUACUAUGUUGAUGGAUCAGAGGAGGUAAUGCGUGUAAGGCCCUUAGAAAAAUACCUGGCAUAGAGUAGUAUCUAGCAUAAAGGUUAAGUAAAAAUAAAGGAAAAGCUAUAUGUAUUUAUUGACACCUAUUUGCGCAUGUCAUGCUGUGUUGGGUUUGGAAAGUGUUUGAUUCUUCGUCCCCGUGGAAAUGGCCUUUUCCCACCUAAAUGAGCUGGUGUUUGUCUGAUGUCUCUUGAGCAUGUUUGCCAUCUUCCAGGCUCCUGGUUCCUAAGAAAUUUUAUGCUUUUAUUGAAAUUCAUCACCACCACCCUUUUGGGGGGGGGGGCGCAGAGCUUUGUACUGAAUUAGUAUUCAGUUGGGAUGGUGGACAAGCCUAAGUUACCUGCAAUUUUAUUUCACAGGAAAUGAAGAGGUAGACUAGCCUCUUCCCAGGUUUAUUUUAGGUUGCUGCCUGAUAGGAGGCCAUAAUGCUUCCCAAAUACUUGCCCCCUACAGUUUGGAAUCAGGUAAAGGGGCAGAGACAGGUCUUAGAGAGCAAGAGAGAGAUGCUAGAUUUUUUAAUUUAUUUUUUCAGUUGCACUGAUGACUGUAGUACUUGUCUGUGCUUCUUGUGAUACUUUAUAAGGGAAUGAUAAAGAAGCAUGCCAGGAAAGAGAUUAUCUUUCACUGAAAAAUGGAUAAACUUAUGACUGAUUCAUUCAUGCUGCACUGAGUCUUGAGAUACUGAGGAAUAAUUAGAACUUUUCCUUUCCAGACUGAGUUGUUAACCUAAGUUUCAGUUGAUUUCUGCAAUCCCUUCAGGACUCUCUUGUUCUUGCCCAUUCAGACACAGUUUAACUGGGACUGAACAAUACCGUCAAAUACAAUUCCCACUGUGCAGUGAAUUAUCUGAUCUCCAAACUGGUUGAAGAUCUGGAGGUUCCUUAUACUUUACAACAGUUAACUUUUAUCUGUUUUUUUGCUUGGAAUCAGCUACCUGGGAUCUUCCAAGACUGCUAUAACCGCCUCUUGGUUUCUCAGGAGAGCAUCGUGCAUUGACCAACAUGGACUUUGAUGCUUAGCAUCACUAGCUCCUGGCUCCCCAAGAACCCAGUUACCUGAAGAUAGCAUUUGGUGCUUCUGAUGCCUGAGUCC